UUACAAGUAAAUCCCUUCCAGAAAGGAGACCUCUCACGAGGCACUUCACCGCCAUGUGUAGUGGAGUAUCGUUACGAGUAUGGAAGGUAUUGUAA
rnacentral:ncRNA from 1 species